AGGGGUUUAGGUUACUUAGACCAAGGGCCUUCAAAGCCCUAAGAAGAUAUAAUAUUAUCUAACCCCUG
rnacentral:tRNA from 1 species